rnacentral:rRNA from 1 species
GACGAACGCUGGCGGCGUGCUUAACACAUGCAAGUCGAGCGGUAAGGCCCUUUCGGGGGUACACGAGCGGCGAACGGGUGAGUAACACGUGGGUGACCUGCCCUCAGCUCUGGGAUAAGCCUGGGAAACCGGGUCUAAUACCGGAUAUGACUCCAUGACGCAUGUUGUGGGGUGGAAAGCCUUGUGCGGCUGAGGAUGGGCCCGCGGCCUAUCAGCUUGUUGGUGGGGUGANGGCCUACCAAGGCGACGACGGGUAGCCGGCCUGAGAGGGCGACCGGCCACACUGGGACUGAGAUACGGCCCAGACUCCUACGGGAGGCAGCAGUGGGGAAUCUUGCGCAAUGGGCGAAAGCCUGACGCAGCGACGCCGCGUGAGGGAU